GCAAGGAUCUGGUUGCUUUAUCCAGUGAUCUGCUGGAUGGCGAGCUGACAUUGAAACAGCGGAUCGCGGUGCGCAUGCACCUGGCGAUGUGCGUGCACUGUCGCCGUUUCAUUCGCCAGUUGCGCGUCAGCCAGCGGGUGAUUCGUCAGCUUCCAGAUCAGCAGGCGCCCGAGCUAGAGACGUUGCUCAGGGCCAUGCAGGCUCAGCAGCAGCGUGCCUCAGAGCCCG
rnacentral:sRNA from 1 species